GGGGAUGUAGCUCAGUGGUAGAGUGUGUAUUUUGCACGUGCAAGGCCCUGGGUUCAAUCCCCAGCACCG
rnacentral:tRNA from 1 species